UUUGUUUAUAUUCGAUAAGGAUGAAUAAAUCAAAACAAAUUGCAAUUUAUCAUACGUGAAAACCCUAUGUGUUUAUUAUGUGUGUGAUUCAAUUAUAUUGUUCAACAGCAGUUGAAGUAUAUGCGCUUCCCGCCGCUCAAAUUAUUGUGCAAUGAUUAAUUUUGCUGUACUCAUCACUGACAUCAGUUAAAGAUUUUUGGCCAAAGGAAACAUCUAUUCCAAGCUGGCAGAUCUUCAUGGAAUCAGCAGAUCAUCUUUCGUUAAUUGACAUGCCUUCACGAGUUCAAUCAGCAAACAUAUGAUCGGUUUCCAGUCCGUGUG